rnacentral:rRNA from 1 species
UGGGGAAUAUUGCACAAUGGGCGCAAGCCUGAUGCAGCGACGCCGCGUGAGGGAUGAAGGCCUUCGGGUUGUAAACCUCUUUCGUCAGGGAACAAGGCAUCACUUUUGGUGGUGUUGAGGGUACCUGGAUAAGAAGCGCCGGCUAACUACGUGCCAGCAGCCGCGGUAAUACGUAGGGCGCAAGCGUUGUCCGGAAUUAUUGGGCGUAAAGAGCUCGUAGGCGGCUGGUCGCGUCUGUCGUGAAAACUUCCGGCUCAACCGGGGGCUUGCGGUGGGUACGGGCCGGCUAGAGUGCGGUAGGGGUAACUGGAACUCCUGGUGUAGCGGUGGAAUGCGCAGAUAUCAGGAAGAACACCGAUGGCGAAGGCAGGUUACUGGGCCGUUACUGACGCUGAGGAGCGAAAGCGUGGGGAGCGAACAGGAUUAGAUACCCUGGUAGUCCACGCUGUAAACGUUGGGCACUAGGUGUGAGGCUCCUUUCCGGGGGUUUUGCGCCGUAGCUAACGCAUUAAGUGCCCCGCCUGGGGAGUACGGCCGCAAGGCUA